rnacentral:rRNA from 1 species
GGGUUGUGAGGUUAAGCGACUAAGCGUACACGGUGGAUGCCCUGGCAGUCAGAGGCGAUGAAGGGCGUGCUAAUCUGCGAUAAGCGCCGGUAAGGUGAUAUGAACCGUUAUAACCGGCGAUACCCGAAUGGGGAAACCCAGUGUGAUUCGUCACACUAUCAUUAACUGAAUCCAUAGGUUAAUGAGGCGAACCGGGGGAACUGAAACAUCUAAGUACCCCGAGGAAAAGAAAUCAACCGAGAUUCCCCCAGUAGCGGCGAGCGAACGGGGAGGAGCCCAGAGCCUGAAUCAGCAUGUGUGUUAGUGGAAGCGUCUGGAAAGGCGCGCGAUACAGGGUGACAGCCCCGUACACAAAAGCGUAUGUGCUGUGAGCUCGAUGAGUAGGGCGGGACACGUGGUAUCCUGUCUGAAUAUGGGGGGACCAUCCUCCAAGGCUAAAUACUCCUGACUGACCGAUAGUGAACCAGUACCGUGAGGGAAAGGCGAAAAGAACCCCGGCGAGGGGAGUGAAAAAGAACCUG